UAUUUUAUUGUAAACAAGAAAAAUAUGUAGAUUUUUAUAUGAUUAUUUCCGAAAAAAGAAUGAACCAUAAUUUUUCAGUAUUAUGAUAUUGAGCAAUUUAAGUAAAAAUUUCAGCUACAACUACAUAGGUUUUGAAAUGUAAAAAUUGACAAGAAUGGACUUGUGAAAUUGUCAGCAGUGCAAUUGGAUGAUUUUGAUAGUGGACAAGACAUAAAAGGGGUGUUGGAAAGAAAUGAGUAAUUAUACCACAUAACAAACCGAUUCUGUAGAAGGAAACAAAUGUAAAGCAUGGGGGUGGCCAUGCUAAAUAGACAAAUAAAGAGGUGAAUAAAGGAAGUGGGAAUGAUCAAGGAUGG
rnacentral:lncRNA from 1 species